rnacentral:SRP_RNA from 1 species
GCCGGGGACCUCAUGGGAUAAGGCAAUCCGAACCAGGUCAGGACAGGAAUGUAGCAGCCUUAAGGAUCCUGCAUUAUGCCUUGAGACAAUCUCCGGCUUU